CGAAGUCGGAAGAAAACAAGU
rnacentral:piRNA from 1 species